rnacentral:pre_miRNA from 1 species
AACUUACUUCCUCCGUUCGAAAUUACUUGUCUCGGAAAUGGAUGUAUCUAGAACUAAAAUACGUCUAGAUACAUCCAUUUUUGCGACAAGUAAUUCCGAACGGAGGGAGUAUAAU